GACGAACGCUGGCGGCGUGCCUAAUACAUGCAAGUCGAGCGAAGUGGAGAGAGCUUGCUCUCAAAGCUUAGCGGCGAACGGGUGAGUAACACGUGGGCAACCUGCCUGACAGACUGGGAUAACUUGGGGAAACUCAAGCUAAUACCGGAUAGGAUCGCAAACCGCAUGGGAUGCGAUGGAAAGUCUGAACGACACUGUCAGAUGGGCCUGCGGCGCAUUAGCUAGUUGGGGGGGUAACGGCCUACCAAGGCGACGAUGCGUAGCCGACCUGAGAGGGUGACCGGCCACACUGGGACUGAGACACGGCUCAGACUCCUACGGGAGGCAGCAGUAGGGAAUCUUCCACAAUGGGCGAAAGCCUGAUGGAGCAACGCCGCGUGAGUGAUGAAGGUUUUCGGAUCGUAAAACUCUGUUGUUAGGGAAGAACACCCGGGAGAGGAUCCCGGUUCGACGGCACCUAACGAGGAAGCCCCGGCUAACUACGUGCCAGCAGCCGCAGUAAUAC
rnacentral:rRNA from 1 species